GACGAACGCUGGCGGCGUGCCUAAUACAUGCAAGUCGAACGCAGUGGGGACGGGUGAUUAACACGUGGGUAACCUCCCAUCAGAGGGGAUAACACUUGGAAACAGGUGCUAAACCGAUACUGAUGGAUGGACCCUCGGUGCAUUAGCUGGUUGGGGAGGUAACGGGUCACCAAGGCCACGGGGCAUAGCCGACCUGAGAGGGUGAUAGGCCACGCUGGGACUGAGACACGGCCCAGACUCCUGCGGGAGGGAGCAGGAGGGAAUCUUCGGCAAUGGACGAAAGUCUGACAGAGCGACGCCGCGUGAGUGAAGAAGGUUUUCGGAUCGUAAAACUCUGUUGUGAGAGAAGCGGUAUCUAACCAGAAAGCCACGGCUAACUACGUGCCAGCAGCCGCGGUAAUAC
rnacentral:rRNA from 1 species